UACGGAGGGGGGCUAGCGUUGUUCGGAAUUACUGGGCGUAAAGCGCGCGUAGGCGGCUUUGUAAGUUAGAGGUGAAAGCCCGGAGCUCAACUCCGGAAUUGCCUUUAAGACUGCAUCGCUAGAAUCAUGGAGAGGUGAGUGGAAUUCCGAGUGUAGAGGUGAAAUUCGUAGAUAUUCGCAAGAACACCAGUGGCGAAGGCGGCUCACUGGCCCAUAACUGACGCUGAGGCACGAAAGCGUGGGGAGCAAACAGGG
rnacentral:rRNA from 1 species